rnacentral:rRNA from 1 species
UUAUGCAUCCAACGCGUUGGGAGCUUUCCCCAUAUGGUCGACCUGCAGGCGGCCCGGGAAUUCCACUAGUGAUUAGAGUUUGAUCCUGGCUCAGGAUGAACGCUAGCGGCAGGCCUAACACAUGCAAGUCGAACGGUAACAGGAAUUAGCUUGCUAAUUUGCUGACGAGUGGCGCACGGGUGCGUAACGCGUAUACAAUCUACCUUUUGCUGAGGGAUAGCCCAGAGAAAUUUGGAUUAAUACCUCAUGGUAUUAUUGACAGGCAUCUGUUAAUAAUUAAAGGUUACGGCAAAAGAUGAGUAUGCGUCCCAUUAGCUAGUUGGCGAGGUAACGGCUCACCAAGGCAACGAUGGGUAGGGGUCCUGAGAGGGAGAUCCCCCACACUGGUACUGAGACACGGACCAGACUCCUACGGGAGGCAGCAGUGAGGAAUAUUGGACAAUGGGCGAGAGCCUGAUCCAGCCAUGCCGCGUGCAGGAAGACUGCCCUAUGGGUUGUAAACUGCUUUUAUACAGGAAGAAUAAGCCUUACGUGUAAGGUGAUGACGGUACCGUAAGAAUAAGGACCGGCUAACUCCGUGCCAGCAGCCGCGGUAAUACGGAGGGUCCGAGCGUUAUCCGGAAUUAUUGGGUUUAAAGGGUCCGUAGGCGGAUGAUUAAGUCAGGGGUGAAAGUUUGCAGCUCAACUGUAAAAUUGCCUUUGAUACUGGUUAUCUUGAGUUGUAUUGAAGUAGGCGGAAUAUGUAGUGUAGCGGUGAAAUGCAUAGAUAUUACAUAGAACACCAAUUGCGAAGGCAGCUUACUAAGUACUAACUGACGCUGAUGGACGAAAGCGUGGGUAGCGAACAGGAUUAGAUACCCUGGUAGUCCACGCCGUAAACGAUGGAUACUAGCUGUUCGGGGCCUUGAGCUCUGAGCGGCUAAGCGAAAGUGAUA